CGAGACAUCUUAUGCGUUGCAUAAUAUCACAUUUUUGCUCGUCCCGUUGGGAGGGGAAUCUUCGAGAUCCGUUGGGAUUUUUUUCUAAAAAGAAAAAAACUCAGCGGAACAAAGUUUUGACUGAGGUCUGCAAAUGGGUCAGGUUGGCCCAUGAUCUAACCCAAUCUAAUCCGCAUAAAUUCGAUCUGAGCCAUUUUGAACGAUCUAUGAAUCCGGAUCAGAUUUUAAAAUUGAAUCU
rnacentral:lncRNA from 1 species